AAAACUUUAAGUUAUUAAACUAAUAGCCUUCAAAGCUUUAAUUGAAAUUUUAGUUUUCAGGUUUUA
rnacentral:tRNA from 1 species